rnacentral:tRNA from 2 species
GACGCAAUAUAUUGAUUUUCUGUAUAAAGCGACGGCCUGCAAAGCCGUUCAGGCCGGUUCGACUCCGGCUCGCGCCUCCA